AUUGAACGCCGGCGGGAGGCUUAACUCAUGAAAGUCGAGCGGAGUGAUGGUGCUUGCACUAUUACUUAGCGGCGGACGGGUGAGUAAUGCUUAGGAAUCUGCCUAUUAGUGGGGGACAACAUCUCGAAAGGGAUGCUAAUACCGCAUACGUCCUACGGGAGAAAGCAGGGGAUGAGUUGUGACCGUGCGCUACUAGAUGAGCCUAAGUCGGAUUAGCGAGUUGGUGGGGUAAAGGCCAAGCAAGGCGACGAUCUGUAGCGGUUCUGAGAGGAUGAUCCGCCACACUGGGACUGAGACACGGCCCAGACUCCUACGGGAGGCAGCAGUGGGGAAUAUUGGACAAUGGGGGGAACCCUGAUCCAGCCAUGCCGCGUGUGUGAAGAAGGCCUUAUGGUUGUAAAGCACUUUAAGCGAGGAGGAGGCUCUUUUGGUUAAUACCCAAGAUGAGUGGACGUUACUCGCAGAAUAAGCACCGGCUAACUCUGUGCCAGCCGCCGCCGUAA
rnacentral:rRNA from 1 species